rnacentral:rRNA from 1 species
GACGAACGCUGGCGGCGUGCUUAACACAUGCAAGUCGAACGAAGAGCGAUGGAAGCUUGCUUCUAUCAAUCUUAGUGGCGAACGGGUGAGUAACGCGUAAUCAACCUGCCCUUCAGAGGGGGACAACAGUUGGAAACGACUGCUAAUACCGCAUACGAUCUAAUCUCGGCAUCGAGGAUAGAUGAAAGGUGGCCUCUACAUGUAAGCUAUCACUGAAGGAGGGGAUUGCGUCUGAUUAGCUAGUUGGAGGGGUAACGGCCCACCAAGGCGAUGAUCAGUAGCCGGUCUGGGAGGAUGGACGGCCACAUUGGGACUGAGACACGGCCCAGACUCCUACGGGAGGCAGCAGUGGGGAAUCUUCCGCAAUGGACGAAAGUCUGACGGAGCAACGCCGCGUGAGUGAUGACGGCCUUCGGGUUGUAAAGCUCUGUUAAUCGGGACGAAAGGCCUUCUUGCGAACAGUUAGAAGGAUUGACGGUACCGGAAUAGAAAGCCACGGCUAACUACGUG